CUUUUCUCUUACUCUAUAAUAAUCUUCUACUUUCCACUUUGAUUUUUUUAUUUUGCUUGCUUCCACUUCCACCAACAACUGCAGUUUUCAACUUUGUGAUCCUCAGGACAUGAAGAAGUUGGAAGAGAAUGCUUGAUAUUUACUGUCUUUGAUGAUUGAUAUGAAACAGAAUCAACAGUCUAAGUAGCUUCCAAAAGAAUGCAACAAGAAACUACCAACUGGACCCUCCAAGAGGAUGUAAGCUCAAGAACCAAUCGAGCACUUAUGAGCCAUAGAUCCUCAUUUCAUGGAUUAUGACCUUCCGUUGAUUGAAUUGAUGAUGUAUUUAUGGAUUUUGAUGAAGCUUCCAAUGAUUGAAUUGAUGAUGUAUUUACGGAUUUUGAUGAUCAGUCUUUAUCUAUAAAUUCAUUUGACACAUUUUUUUAAUAGAUACUUUGAGGAGUAAAAGAUUAGUAUUGCAUUUUCAUUGUUCAAAGACAAAGAGGUAAAAAGAAGAAGGAACAAAAGUUACCCUGUAUAUAUACAACACAAACACAGCACAAAUAGGAAGAAACUAUAGUAUGAACUAUAAUGGUCGUACUGUACAGAGUACGGAUUCCCCUUUUGUUUCCCACAUUCUCUUUACUGUGUGUGUAUUCCUCACUUUUCACAUUGCCCUUCCACUAUUCUGUACUCUUAUUUGCAUUGCCACAUUGGAGUUUACUUUUGCAAAAAUAGAAUGGUAAUACUAAGGUUUAGAUGUCAUGCUAAAGUUUAGACUAUAAAUGAUGAUAAACCCGACACUUAUUAACGU
rnacentral:lncRNA from 1 species